UACAGAGGUCUCAAGCGUUGUUCGGAUUCAUUGGGCGUAAAGGGUGCGUAGGUGGCGAUGUAAGUCUAACGUGAAAUCUCGGGGCUCAACCCCGAAAUUGCGUCGGAUACUGCGUUGCUAGAGGAUUGUAGAGGAGAGUGGAAUUCACGGUGUAGCAGUGAAAUGCGUAGAUAUCGUGAGGAAGACCAGUUGCGAAGGCGACUCUCUGGGCAACUCCUGACACUGAGGCACGAAGGCUAGGGGAGCGAACGGG
rnacentral:rRNA from 1 species